GAUGAACGCUGGCGGCGUGCCUAAUACAUGCAAGUCGAGCGGACGGACGAGAAGCUUGCUUCUCUGAUGUUAGCGGAGGACGGGUGAGUAACACGUGGAUAACCUACUUAUAAGACUGGGAUAACUUCGGGAAACCGGAGAUAAUACCGGAUAAUCUUUUGAACCGCAUGGUUCAAUAGUGAAUGACGGUCUUGCUGUCACUUCUAGCUGGAUCCGGGCUGCAUUAGCUAGUUGGUAAGGUAACGGGUUACCAAGGCUACGAUGCGUAACCGACCGCAGAGAGGGGUCGCCCGCCCGGGAACGUAGACACGGACAAGACGCCUGCGGUAGGCAGCAGAAGGGAACCGUCCGCAGUGGUCGAAAACCUGACGGAGCAGCGGCGCGUGAGUGAUGAAGGUCUUCCGUGCGUAAAACUCGGUUAUUAGGGAAGAACAGAUUUGGAAGGAGCUGUGCACAGCGUGACGGUACCUGAUCAGAAAGCCCCGGCUAACUACGUG
rnacentral:rRNA from 1 species